AGUGAACGUUGGCGGCGUGGAUUAGGCAUGCAAGUCGAGCGAGAACCGUAGCAAUACGGGGACAGCGGCGAAAGGGAAAGUACUGUGUAGGUACCUACCCCAGGGUCUGGGAUAGCUGCGGGAAACUGCAGGUACUACCGGAUAAUGUCUUCGGACCAAAGGUGUGAUUCCACCUUGGGCGGUGCCUGCAUCCUAAUAGCUUGUUGGCGUGGUAACGGCCCACCAAGGCAACGAUGGGUAGCGGGUGCGGGAGCACGACCUCGCGUCAUUGGGACUGAGAUACUGCCCAGACACCUACGGGUGGCUGCAGUCGAGGAUCUUCGGCAAUGGGCGAAAGCCUGACCGAGCGACGCCGCGUGCGGGAUGAAGGCCUUCGGGUUGUAAACCGCUGUCGUAGAGGAGGAAAUGCAGGGGGGUUCUCCCUUCUGUUUGACCUAUUCUAGGAGGAAGGACCGGCCAACUACGUGCCAGCCGCCGCCGUAA
rnacentral:rRNA from 1 species